GCCACGGUGGUCUAGCGGUUAGAACGCUGGCCUUGUAAUCCUGGGGUCUCGGGUUCGAUUCCCG
rnacentral:tRNA from 1 species